rnacentral:sRNA from 1 species
GCUGGGCAUGGUGGUGGGUGCCUGUAAUCCCAGCUACUUGGGAGGCUGAGGCAGGAGAAUCACUUGAACCCAGGAGGUGGAGGUUGCAGUGAGCCAAGAUUGCACCACUGCAGUCUAGCCUGGGUGACACAGCGAGACUCUGUCUCAA